rnacentral:rRNA from 1 species
CAGCAGCCGCGGGAAUACGAAGGGGGCUAGCGUUGCUCGGAAUGACUGGGCGUAAAGGGCGCGUAGGCGGUUUUGACAGUCAGAUGUGAAAUUCCUGGGCUUAACCUGGGGGCUGCAUUUGAGACGUCAAGACUAGAGUGUGAGAGAGGGUUGUGGAAUUCCCAGUGUAGAGGUGAAAUUCGUAGAGAUCGGAAGGAACAUCUGUGGCGAAGGCGACUAUCUGGGCCAAUACUGACACUGAGACACGAAAGCGUGGGGAGCAAACAGGAUUAGAUACCCCAGUAGUCCCUGUCUCUUAUAC